rnacentral:tRNA from 1 species
GGUUCUAUGGUGUAGUGGUUAGCACUCUGGACUUUGAAUCCAACGACCUGGGUUCAAAUCUCGGUAAGACCU